UAUAAAUGGACCAAACUUUAAACGAAGGGUAUAUCUAAACCUUUUCAAAUAGUUUAGGGAAAUAUUUGACCCUUUUCCCUUUAUUUUUUUGUUUUUUCUGGAAAUAAAAACUAGAUUAAUAAGCAUCAGUCUUUUUUGUGUGGGGUCCAAUAGUUGAACGUUGUGGCAGGUAAGGGGUGGGGCAGUUAUAAACUUAUAACUGAAAACAACGGAUACACCAUAUAUAUUCUUUCUUUUCCUUUGUAGAUGAGGAUGAGUGGGAUCCAUGUUAUGUUUUCCAACUGCUUCAUAAUUUCAUUUCAAUUACAAUCAUUAUAUCUAGGAUUUAUUUGACCAUAUAUAUAUAUAUAUAUAUAUAUAUAUAUAUGAAAACGGUGAUGUAGCACUCUCACAGGGCUGAAUUCCCUUUUUUUUAGUUUUUUUUCUGAUUUUGAAAGACAUAAUUUCACUCUAAAAUAUUUAUAUAACAUUAAUGAUAAUCAUAUUUAAUGUCUUUCAUCAUCAAUGCUAUUAAUUCCUUUUUCCUAAAACUUUUCAACUUUCUGCUAAAUGCUUCACCAUUGCACCUAAUUUUUUUUGUUAUAGUGCUAGUAAAUAAAAGUAAUAAAGAGUAAAUUGCAACCGUUUUAAUUUCUUCAGCUGUUAUAGUUUUGUCUAUAUAUGUCUUUUCUUUUGGAAUUUUAAUUAUAUUUUAUUCAAUGUAAUCAAAAUUUGUAGGUAAAUAAUAAUAUUAGUUUAUUUUGGAAUUUCAACUAUUUCUAUUUAGUUUUAUCUUUGGUAUUUGCAGGCAAAUAGGUGCAAGAGGAAAAUGUACGUAAUUUUUGCAAGAUCAACGUUGGUGCUCUCUGUUUGACAACUUCAUCAUCUUUCCCAAGAAAAUAAGGUUUUCAUUGAAAAUUUCUAAUGCAAUGUUGAAUCGUAUUUGUAAUGAUGAGAAUGAUUCGAUGUUGCGAGUAAAAUUGCAAUGCAAACAUGGUGACUUACAAUUAGUGCAAACUUCAUGGUCGGAGCAUAAUCCAACUCAAAGAGUUUGGUCUUGUCCACGCUAUCGUGAGGAUGCAUGCAACUUCUUUAGAUGGAGGGAUCACGAAGAAGUUGAAUACAAUGCAAGUACGUUAUUUUGAGAUUAGGAAAGAGAAUUAAGGAGUUGGAAGAAGUAUUGACAUUUUAUGAAAGCCGUAUUGAAAGUAACCAAGACGUGAUGAAGGAGAAAAUAAGAGCAAAUAUUAUAACUUGAAGCUAAUUGUCUUGAUCAAUAUUGUGUGUUUUCUAUUUUCAAGUCUAACAAAAAAUGUGAAGGAUGAAAGUUGUAGGUGUGUGCAACCAAAUUUUCCUUAAACAUCUUUAAAUACUUUCAAGUUUUUGAAGUCAUAAGUGUGUGUAACUAGAAAGUAAUUGUCUUGAUCUUGCUAGCUGUAGGUGUAUGUAACUUGAAUAAUGGAAGUUGUAGAAUGCUCAAGUUUUUAUUGGUCUUUGUUGUCGAAAUA